rnacentral:rRNA from 1 species
CCUACGGGAGGCAGCAGUGGGGAAUAUUGGGCAAUGGGCGCAAGCCUGACCCAGCAAUGCCGCGUGAAGGAAGAAGGCUUUCGGGUUGUAAACUUCUUUGACAGGGGAAGAGCAGAAGACGGUACCCUGAAAACAAGCCACGGCUAACUACGUGCCAGCAGCCGCGGUAAUACGUCGGUGGCAAGCGUUGUCCGGAUUUACUGGGUGUAAAGGGCGUGUAGCCGGGAAGGCAAGUCAGCUGUGAAAUCUGGAGGCUCAACCUCCAAAUUGCAUUUGAAACUGUUUUUCUUGAGUACUGGAGAGGCAGACGGAAUUCCUGGUGGAGCGGUGAAAUGCGUAGAUAUAAGGAGGAACACCAGUGGCGAAGGCGGUCUGCUGGACAGCAACUGACGGUGAGGCGCGAAAGCGUGGGGAGCAAACAGGAUUAGAUACCCUUGUAGUC